rnacentral:rRNA from 1 species
CACGGGAGACACACGGCGGGUGCUAACGUCCGUCGUGAAGAGGGAAACAACCCAGACCGCCAGCUAAGGUCCCAAAGUCAUGGUUAAGUGGGAAACGAUGUGGGAAGGCCCAGACAGCCAGGAUGUUGGCUUAGAAGCAGCCAUCAUUUAAAGAAAGCGUAAUAGCUCACUGGUCGAGUCGGCCUGCGCGGAAGAUGUAACGGGGCUAAACCAUGCACCGAAGCUGCGGCAGCGAACGUAUCACUUAAAGCGAUUCAGCGGGUUACGAUUGACGGAGCGAAGCGACGUCAAAGCGUAUACAAAGUCGAGUCGGUUUAAGGAUACGUUCGUUGGGUAGGGGAGCGUUCUGUAAGCCCGUGAAGGUGGCCUGUGAGGGUUGCUGGAGGUAUCAGAAGUGCGAAUGCUGACAUAAGUAACGAUAAAGCGGGUGAAAAGCCCGCUCGCCGGAAGACCAAGGGUUCCUGUCCAACGUUAAUCGGGGCAGGGUGAGUCGACCCCUAAGGCGAGGCCGAAAGGCGUAGUCGAUGGGAAACGGGUUAAUAUUCCCGUACUUGGUGUUACUGCGAAGGGGGGACGGAGAAGGCUAUGUUGGCCGGGCGACGGUUGUCCCGGUUUAAGCGUGUAGGUGUGUGUUCCAGGUAAAUCCGGUUCACUUUAACACUGAGGCGUGAUGACGAGGCACUACGGUGCUGAAGCAACAAAUGCCCUGCUUCCAGGAAAAGCCUCUAAGCAUCAGGUAACAUCAAAUCGUACCCCAAACCGACACAGGUGGUCAGGUAGAGAAUACCAAGGCGCUUGAGAGAACUCGGGUGAAGGAACUAGGCAAAAUGGUGCCGUAACUUCGGGAGAAGGCACGCUGACACGUAGGUGAAGUGAUUUACUCACGGAGCUGAAGUCAGUCGAAGAUACCAGCUGGCUGCAACUGUUUAUUAAAAACACAGCACUGUGCAAACACGAAAGUGGACGUAUACGGUGUGACGCCUGCCCGGUGCCGGAAGGUUAAUUGAUGGGGUCAGCGCAAGCGAAGCUCCUGAUCGAAGCCCCGGUAAACGGCGGCCGUAACUAUAACGGUCCUAAGGUAGCGAAAUUCCUUGUCGGGUAAGUUCCGACCUGCACGAAUGGCGUAAUGAUGGCCAGGCUGUCUCCACCCGAGACUCAGUGAAAUUGAACUCGCUGUGAAGAUGCAGUGUACCCGCGGCAAGACGGAAAGACCCCGUGAACCUUUACUAUAGCUUGACACUGAACAUUGAGCCUUGAUGUGUAGGAU